UCACAACAUAGAGAGAGCACAGAGCAUGCAACAGAAGUCAUUCCAAAAUCGCAAGUGCAAGUUUGUGCGAGUAUGUUCAGUUCAGGCCGGUGAUGGUGUUCUGCUCUCACGGGACCCCAAGAAACGACGGACAGGAGACACAUUUACAAGUCAGCACCAAGGACCAUAUACUGUGGCCAGCAUCUCUUCCAAAGGGGUGGCCACUAUCGUCAAAGGGUCAGCUUGUCAGAGGGUCAAUGUGUCAAUGUGACAUACUACAGAUUGAAAAAUGGACCAACUGAGAGGAUGUUUCUCCAGGACCACUGCUACUCAACAUUCAAAUGGCAGGUAGAGCAUCCAUAUGCUUGUUCAGGUGCAAGGUGGGAGAAGGUCUUGGACCCUAUUCAAGAUGAACUGUUAAAGUAUGUGUUGGACAAAAAUCGGCCAUCAGAAGAACUGAUCAUAAAGCAAGGCCAAAUGUGCCUCACACGAGAAGACUUCUGGAGCCUGGGUUUAAGCCAGUGCAUGGAAUCUAAUAUCGGAAAUGCCUGCCUCAAGAUUGUGGAAGAAGCUACACGAAGACAUGGAAAAAAUUUUCACAUUGUGGACCUCUAUGCUGUUCCCACCCG